AAAAAGCUUCAAACUGGGAUUAGAUACCCCACUAUGCCAAACCGUAAAAAUUUAACCUACACCAACCAACGCCAGGGUACUACGAGCCCUAGCUUAAAACCCAAAGGACUUGACGGUGUCCCACCCAACUAGAGGAGCCUGUUCUAUAAUCGAUAAUCCACGAUACACCUAACCAUUUCUUGCUAAUCAGUCUGUAUACCUCCGUCGUAAGCUUACCGUGUGAACGCACAAUAGUAGGCCCAAGGGCUUAAACGUCACAACGUCAGGUCAAGGUGCAACCCAUGAAAUGGAAGCUAUGGGCUACAAUUUCUAAUCUAGAACAAACGAAAUACUAUGUGAAAUAUAGUCACGAAGGCGGAUUUAGCAGUAAGUAGGAAAUAGAGAGUCCUACUAAACUUGGCUCUGGGACGUGUACACACCGCCCGUCACCCUCUGCAGUCAA
rnacentral:rRNA from 1 species